rnacentral:lncRNA from 1 species
ACCAGUUGUGGGGAAGCAUGAGCCACAUGGAGAGGCAACAUGUGGGUGCUCCAGCUAAGAUCCCAGCCAGCAUCAACCACCUUCAGAUGAUUCCAGCCCCCAGGCUUCAAGCUGCUCCAGCUGAUGCCGAGUGGAGUUGGGACAGCUGUCCAUGCCAGGAGUUGCCCAAAUUGCAGCUAGCGAGCAAAAUAAAUGUUGCUAUAAGCCACUAAGUUCUGGGGUCAUUUUUUCUCUGCAACAGAUAAUCGGGCAGUGUGCUGAAACCAUUACGUGCAUUACCUUGCCAAGAAAACGGAGACCCAGAAAAGGUGUGUUCCCCUGUGCACCCAAUAUAAGGUUCAGGAACACUCAAAGACCUGUGUCAGCCUGAAUUCCCCGCCAUUUGCUUCCCGGAGUCACGUAAGUUUACAGCUAUCUCUCUGUAUUUUUUUGGCACAGUUCAAAUCCUAACUUACCUUAUUGCUU